rnacentral:rRNA from 1 species
GAUGAACGCUGGCGGCGUGCCUAAUACAUGCAAGUCGAGCGAACGGACGAGAAGCUUGCUUCUCUGAUGUUAGCGGCGGACGGGUGAGUAACACGUGGAUAACCUACCUAUAAGACUGGGAUAACUUCGGGAAACCGGAGCUAAUACCGGAUAAUAUUUUGAACCGCAUGGUUCAAAAGUGAAAGACGGUCUUGCUGUCACUUAUAGAUGGAUCCGCGCUGCAUUAGCUAGUUGGUAAGGUAACGGCUUACCAAGGCAACGAUGCAUAGCCGACCUGAGAGGGUGAUCGGCCACACUGGAACUGAGACACGGUCCAGACUCCUACGGGAGGCAGCAGUAGGGAAUCUUCCGCAAUGGGCGAAAGCCUGACGGAGCAACGCCGCGUGAGUGUUGAAGGUCUUCGGAUCGUAAAACUCUGUUAUUAGGGAAGAACAUAUGUGUAAGUAACCGUGCACAUCUUGACGGUACCUAAUCAGAAAGCCACGGCUAACUACGUG